rnacentral:rRNA from 1 species
AGAGUUUGAUCCUGGCUCAGAGCGAACGCUGGCGGAAUGCUUAACACAUGCAAGUCGCACGCCCCGGCAACGGGGAGUGGCGGACGGGUGAGGAACGCGUAGGAACAUGUCCAGAGGUGGGGGACAACCCUGGGAAACCGGGGCUAAUACCGCAUACGGCCCGAGGGCCAAAGCCGCGAGGCGCCUUUGGAGUGGCCUGCGUCCGAUUAGCUUGUUGGCGGGGUAACGGCCCACCAAGGCUCCGAUCGGUAGCUGGUCUGAGAGGAUGAUCAGCCACACUGGGACUGAGACACGGCCCAGACUCCUACGGGAGGCAGCAGUGGGGAAUAUUGGGCAAUGGGCGCAAGCCUGACCCAGCAAUUCCGCGUGGGUGAAGAAGGUCUUCGGAUUGUAAAGCCCUUUCGGCGGGGACGAUGGUGACGGUACCCGCAGAAGAAGCCCCGGCUAACUUCGUGCCAGCAGCCGCGGUAAUACGAAGGGGGCUAGCGUUGCUCGGAAUCAUUGGGCGUAAAGGGCGCGUAGGCGGCGCAGCUAGUCAGGCGUGAAACCCCCGGGCUCAACCCGGGGACUGCGUUUGAUACGGCUGUGCUAGAGGAUGGAAGAGGGCCGCGGAAUUCCCAGUGUAGAGGUGAAAUUCGUAGAUAUUGGGAAGAACACCGGUGGCGAAGGCGGCGGCCUGGUCCAUUACUGACGCUGAGGCGCGACAGCGUGGGGAGCAAACAGGAUUAGAUACCCCCGUAGUCC